rnacentral:rRNA from 1 species
CCUGCGGAGGGAUCAUUACUGAGUUUACGCUCUACAACCCUUUGUGAACAUACCUAUAACUGUUGCUUCGGCGGGUAGGGUCUCCGCGACACUCCCGGCCUCCCGCCCCCGGGCGGGUCGGCGCCCGCCGGAGGAUAACCAAACUCUGAUGUAACGACGUUUCUUCUGAGUGGUACAAGCAAAUAAUCAAAACUUUUAACAACGGAUCUCUUGGUUCUGGCAUCGAUGAAGAACGCAGCGAAAUGCGAUAAGUAAUGUGAAUUGCAGAAUUCAGUGAAUCAUCGAAUCUUUGAACGCACAUUGCGCCCGCCAGCAUUCUGGCGGGCAUGCCUGUUCGAGCGUCAUUUCAACCCUCAAGCUCUGCUUGGUGUUGGGGCCCUACAGCUGAUGUAGGCCCUCAAAGGUAGUGGCGGACCCUCCCGGAGCCUCCUUUGCGUAGUAACUUUACGUCUCGCACUGGGAUCCGGAGGGACUCUUGCCGUAAAACCCCCAAUUCUCCAAAGGUUGACCUCGGAUCAGGUAGGAAUACCCGCUGAACUUAAGCAUAUCAUA